GGGUUGUGAGGUUAAGCGACUAAGCGUACACGGUGGAUGCCCUGGCAGUCAGAGGCGAUGAAGGACGUGCUAAUCUGCGAUAAGCGUCGGUAAGGUGAUAUGAACCGUUAUAACCGGCGAUUUCCGAAUGGGGAAACCCAGUGUGWUUCGWCACACUAUCAUUAACUGAAUCCAUAGGUUAAUGAGGCGAACCGGGGGAACUGAAACAUCUAAGUACCCCGAGGAAAAGAAAUCAACCGAGAUUCCCCCAGUAGCGGCGAGCGAACGGGGAGCAGCCCAGAGCCUGAAUCAGUGUGUGUGUUAGUGGAAGCGUCUGGAAAGGCGCGCGAUACAGGGUGACAGCCCCGUACACAAAAAUGCACAUGCUGUGAGCUCGAUGAGUAGGGCGGGACACGUGGUAUCCUGUCUGAAUAUGGGGGGACCAUCCUCCAAGGCUAAAUACUCCUGACUGACCGAUAGUGAACCAGUACCGUGAGGGAAAGGCGAAAAGAACCCCGGCGAGGGGAGUGAAAAAGAACCUGAAACCGUGUACGUACAAGCAGUGGGAGCCUCUUUAUGGGGUGACUGCGUACCUUUUGUAUAAUGGGUCAGCGACUUAUAUUCUGUAGCAAGGUUAACCGAAUAGGGGAGCCGAAGGGAAACCGAGUCUUAACUGGGCGUUAAGUUGCAGGGUAUAGACCCGAAACCCGGUGAUCUAGCCAUGGGCAGGUUGAAGGUUGGGUAACACUAACUGGAGGACCGAACCGACUAAUGUUGAAAAAUUAGCGGAUGACUUGUGGCUGGGGGUGAAAGGCCAAUCAAACCGGGAG
rnacentral:rRNA from 1 species